CAGCAGACACAUUCCAGCCAAUCAGCAGCAGACCCUCCCUCCCAGACCCUCCCACCUCCUGGACAGCUCACUAAGAAUGCAGCUUCACAAUGAAUGUAAAUGGAUGCUGUCCAGGAGGUGGGAGGGUCUGGGAGGGAGGGUCUGCUGCUGAUUGGCUGGAAUGCUGACUGUG